rnacentral:rRNA from 1 species
CGUAGGUAACCUGCCUGGUAGCGGGGGGUAACUAUUGGAAACGAUAGCUAAUACCGCAUAAGAACAUUUACUGCAUGGUAGAUGUUUAAAAGGUGCAAAUGCAUCACUACCAGAUGGACCUGCGUUGUAUUAGCUAGUAGGUGAGGUAGCGGCUCACCUAGGCGACGAUACAUAGCCGACCUGAGAGGGUGAUCGGCCACACUGGGACUGAGACACGGCCCAG